CAGGCCUCCCGGGCACCCCCUCCUCCCGCCCCCUUCCCCACCUCCAUCCAUCUCUGCUUCUCCAAGAGCAAACGCUUUGGCUGCAAAAAACCUGCACGAAUCAUCGCCAACGCGGCCGGCUUCUGCUGGGGAAGUGGUCUCUCAGUGAUGCCGGCUGUAGCUGCAAGCGGAGCACGAACACACUGCUCGAGCACGCACCACACACACACACACACACACACACACACACACACACACACACACUCGCCACGAGCCUCCUAGACUGCCUCCGCUGGUAUUCUCUGUGCCGGGCUGACCUCUAGGGCUUAGAGCUGCGUGACCCUGCCAGGCAGAGCCUCGCCACCCUGCCCGUGCUGGCGGGACUGACCUCUCCCUCCACCCCGCUCAUCACCCCGAGUCUCAGCGACUCCGGGGUGAAGGCAGGAUGUAGGUGCGUUUGGAUGGGGACCUGAGCUUUUUAAAACGCCAAGAAAUCGCCGGAGAGCCCUCCCACCCCGCUGGCGAGUCCCGAUGCCGGUGCCGCCAGACCUCCCGGGUUUGAGUCCUAUGCAGGGCAGCUUCGGGUUCUUUUCCCACUCAGAGAGAGACCAGACCCUUCACAACCCAAGGCAGCGCCAGCUAACCUCACGGCUCAGGAGGGGCACAGCGUGAAGUGACUGGCCUAUCUCCUACAGAACGGUGGCACCGCCAGAGAGCAACCCAGCCACCUCCCAGGUUUCUUCUCCCCCAGGCCCUUGCCAAAGCCCGUCAUUUGCAAAGAGGCUCUCACUCUUCUACAACCUCAGCGGAUGAACGCCAAGCCUUUGAGCUUCUAUCUCAGCAGCCUAAAGCCCAAAAGCAAAUAAGACCUCGGGAGCCUGGGUCCACAGCGGGUCUGCUGCAGGGAGGGAGAUCUUUCGAAAGAAAGAUCCUUCCAAUCCCCUUCAAUUCACAGAGAUUUGCGGAUAAAAUAAAUUCCCAUAAAUAAUCUGUAGGCCCCCUCCGGGAAAGGGAAAAGCUAGAAUCCUCCAAGUCAUGGUCCAGCCAAAUUCGCUUAGCAGCUGAAGCACAGGUCCUACAGCCGGUGCCCGGGGCACCAAGCUCUAUCUGGGUUUGUAAACCUGGCCCAGCUGACACAUGCAGGCAUAAUGCAAGCGAAUAAAUAGGUGGUUUUGAUCCUGCCCCGGAGCUGGGGAGGGAAGCUAAGGCCCCGCCAGGCCAAGUUCGAGGGAAACCGAUGACCACUCACCCGCCCCUUUAGUUCGCUUGAGGGAUACUCACCUCCCCAAAUCCCACUGCCUCUUUCCAGAGCAGAAGCCAAGAGUGGCGCCUGGCUGGGGAGUGGGUCUUCAGAUGCAAUGAGCAAAGAAUCCCCCCAAAAGAGACCCUUUGGGGGCCAUGUCUCUCUCCAGGAACUGUCAAGACAAGCUAGUACCUCCCAGCUCGUGGUUGGUUUGUGGUCUCCGACAAAUUAAAUAUUACUGUUUAUUACCAGGCCUACCCCAAUAAAAGAAAGAGGCAACCAGGCAAUACCGACUAUCUCACCAGCCGCUGCACCUAUAGGACUUGGAGACGUCACCAGCCGUGCAACUGGCCCUCGCGCUGUCACACGCCCGACUGGGGCCAGCAGCCCGAGGUUCAGGUCUCUGUGGCUUGUCUAUCAGUCCUGGGUCUGCAUAGCGCCCAGUCCUGGCCCCUUCGAUCAGGGAAUAAAGAACAAAAUAAAUAA